rnacentral:rRNA from 1 species
AGUGAACGCUGGCGGUAGGCCUAACACAUGUAAGUCGAACGGCAGCACAGUAAGAGCUUGCUCUUACGGGUGGCGAGUGGCGGACGGGUGAGGAAUACAUCGGAAUCUACUUUUUCGUGGGGGAUAACGUAGGGAAACUUACGCUAAUGCCGCAUACGACCUACGGGUGAAAGCAGGGGAUCUUCGGACCUUGCGCGAUUGAAUGAGCCGAUGUCGGAUUAGCUAGUUGGCGGGGUAAGGGCCCACCAAGGCGACGAUCCGUAGCUGGUCUGAGAGGAUGAUCAGCCACACUGGAACUGAGACACGGUCCAGACUCCUACGGGAGGCAGCAGUGGGGAAUAUUGGACAAUGGGCGCAAGCCUGAUCCAGCCAUACCGCGUGGGUGAAGAAGGCCUUCGGGUUGUAAAGCCCUUUUGUUGGGAAAGAAAAGCAGCAGGUUAAUACCCCGCUGUUCUGACGGUACCCAAAGAAUAAGCACCGGCUAACUUCGUG